rnacentral:rRNA from 1 species
GACGAACGCUGGCGGCGUGCUUAACACAUGCAAGUCGAACGGAAAGGCCCUGCUUUUGUGGGGUGCUCGAGUGGCGAACGGGUGAGUAACACGUGAGUAACCUGCCCUUGACUUUGGGAUAACUUCAGGAAACUGGGGCUAAUACCGGAUAGGAGCUCCUGCUGCAUGGUGGGGGUUGGAAAGUUUCGGCGGUUGGGGAUGGACUCGCGGCUUAUCAGCUUGUUGGUGGGGUAGUGGCUUACCAAGGCUUUGACGGGUAGCCGGCCUGAGAGGGUGACCGGCCACAUUGGGACUGAGAUACGGCCCAGACUGCUACGGGGGGCAGCAGUGGGGAAUAUUGCACAAUGGGCGGAAGCCUGAUGCAGAAACGCCGCGUGCGGGAUGACGGCCUUCGGGUUGUAAACCGCUUUCGCCUGUGACGAAGCGUGAGUGACGGUAAUGGGUAAAGAAGCACCGGCUAACUACGUG